rnacentral:lncRNA from 1 species
AUGCACAGCUUCAGGACGUGUUUCAGUGCACACCAGCAGGACACAGCGUCAGGACCACAGCUCCCUUCUCUGUCUCUGCGCUCUGUGGAUCCAUGGAAGUACGGCAAUUACAUUCCUGGCUCUGGCAUGAAAGAUCUCUUGGAUCUAGUACUGGAUAAGCUUGAAGUUCCUACCAAGAGCGUGGAGCUGCAGCACAAGACGUUUCCUUCGCAGCCAGUGCAUGGGGCAUGGUUUUAUCACGGCAGGAGAUGGAGGCAGGGAGAAGCUGCUCCCUGCCUGCUGGAGGAGAGGCAGCACGGCGGGGCCAUACACACUUGGCAGGAGCCGGUGCUCACUGCUGGAUUCGCCCUGACGGAGCUUCUCAAGUUGCCUUGUCCGGUCUCACUAUGCCCAUGACCAUCCCAUUGCCUACCUUGUUUUGUCCUAUCCAAGCAGGCAACACCAACUAAGGUUCACAGCCCAGCCUCAGCACUCAACAGGGAAAAAGGCAAAGCCCAACAAGUUUCUGCCCGUGUAUCGAUACCGCAGCAUGCCCCUCUGUACAGACACAGCAGUGUUGUGUCAUCGGGGAAACCAAGCCAAACUGAAGAACAAAUCCUCUCUUUGAAAACAUCGCAUUAAAGACUAGCCUUAACAUAAGAUCAUACAGUGCUGAAGUUCUGGGUCACAACGUUUUCACCGUGAGAUAAGCACCUCCAGAGAACACGGAGUUUUACUGAGACUCACAAAUCUCCAGUCUGGAUCACAAGAACAGGCCAGGAAAGAGGAAUUAUUUCCUUCAAUAUUACACUUAGGCUGCCCCACACUGGGGACGCUGAGCCUAUUACUUAGGCUCCCAAUCUGCCUUACCAGACAUGGUGAAAUCCACCUCAGUGUCUGUCACACCACAACGUGCUCCCUACAUCGCUCCUCCUCCAGAGCAAGAGGUGACAGCUAGCAGAAAGAUUCAGAUGCUUCCAACAUCAUUUAGUCACAUCCUAGAGAUGCAAAGGAGCUGGGUGAGAAUCCACCCGGGCCUCUUUGACAGUGACAGAGGUGAGAAAGUCUUCAAAAGUACUGCCCUGCUGUCAGAAGCCAAACAGGCCAUGCUGAGAAAAGGAGGAGCCGUGGGACCAUCAGCUAUCCCAGCCAACAUCAGCCUUAUCCCAAGGAAUGAAAUGGAGCCCCUUAUCCAGACAGGUUGCCCUCUUCGCAUUUUUCUACCUAUAUAGGUGUAUUCCCUACGUGUGAUCUAACAACGUGAUUUAAUUAGCUGCUUAAUUAGCAGCUGUGUGAAGCACACUAAGGGAAGUGAUUGUCAGGUCUUCUGCUGCGACUCUGUGGCUGUUGAAUGCACAACAGCCAGGGAAUGGAGAGAAAUCCAGGUUCUCCUACAAAAGCUUGAGCACGUCAGUAAGUUUUUCCCAGCAUUGUUUGCAACCGACACACCACGUGGAGGCGGUGCUGUUUGUUAGCUGCAUCACAUCCAUAAACCUGAAGGAGGCUGCAAGGGCUAAGCCAUCUCAGUUAACGUAAGGCAGAUGCUGGGAGAGCA